rnacentral:rRNA from 1 species
UUCCCCUAGUAACGGCGAGUGAAGCGGGAUGAGCUCAAAUUUGAAAUCUGGCUGGUUUACUAGUCCGAGUUGUAAUUUAAAGAAGCGUUUUCGGUGGCAGCCUGGGUAUAAAUCCUUUGGAAUAGGGUAUCAUAGAGGGUGAGAAUCCCGUCUUUGACCUAGUGCAUGCUACUAUGUGAUACGUUUUCAAAGAGUCGAGUUGUUUGGGAAUGCAGCUCAAAAUGGGUGGUAAAUUUCAUCUAAAGCUAAAUAUUGGCGAGAGACCGAUAGCGAACAAGUACCGUGAGGGAAAGAUGAAAAGAACUUUGAAAAGAGAGUUAAACAGUGCGUGAAAUUGUUGAAAGGGAAACGUUUGACACCAGUCAUGUGGGUGGAAAAUCAGUCUUUUGCAUUGGGGAGUUGUAAAGGUUCGGACCGCAAGGCCGGCUUUUGCUUCAUCUUUGGUGUAAGGGAUGCACUUUUUCAUCUGCAGGUCAACAUCAGUUUCUUUUGCUGGACAAAACUCCGAGAGAAGGUAGCAGCUUAGGCUGUGUUAUAGCUCUGGAGCGAUACAGUGAAGGGGACUGAGGUUUUCGCAGCGUGUGCUCUCGGGCAAGGCUGGAUGGGUGCUAUGGGAUCGUUCGGGGUACAAUGCCUGGCAUUUUGCUUCGUGUCUUUUCUAUACUCGCUCAACUCAGCUCUUCCACGCUUA